UUUUGUCUUUAGUCUGUCCAAAUUUCAGAAAGAAACACUCUCUGUCUCUUUUACGUUCUUACCCUUGAUCUCUCUCUGGCACACCCAUGGCCGAAUCUCCAUCACUGCUGCUAGCCAUCGAAUCUCCAAAUUCGGACGCGUUGUGAACUCCUCGCUUCCGAAUUCUAUCAUCGUCUUUCUCUCUAUUGUCUUUUCUCUUAUAUGUAUUUUUUUGUUUCUCUUUUUAUAUGCUUUUUAGAGAUGACCGAAUUUGGGUCUCAUUUUUGUUAGUUUGAUGGCUGAGUUUUCUUGUUGAGUCUAAAGCUUGAUAAUUUUGCCUGGGUUUGAAAAUUGGGGGUUUUUGGCAUGGCCUAAUGUGCAUUGAUUGAAUGAGAAGUGCUGACAAUUUAACAGAUAGGAUCAUACAUUGAAGAUUUUAAGUGCUCUUGGUUGGUAGCAAAAGCAUUGGAUCUUAGCAAUGAGGAGCAAAAGAAAGUGUUAUAAAUGACCAAGUCAAAAUUCAUAGCAAAAAUUGCAUGAUUUGUAUUAGAAAUUGCAACUGAGGUUGGAGACUUGAAGCAUGCAAGACUUUUUCUCUCCUUAUUAUGUGAGAAUUAUGAAUUAUGAUGGUGGAAAAUUAUUUAUUGUAAACUAUCAUGUAAUGAUGUUAUUAUGACCUUGUAAUCAAAGAGAAUAUCUCAAUGGAACUCUUGUUAUUAAGAUCAAAGUGUACAUUUUAAUAAAACUUUGUUUAUUUUGAAUUAAA